CUCAAAGAUUAAGCCAUGCAUGUCUAAGCAUGAACUAAACCAAAGUGAAGCCGCGAAUAGCUCAUUACAACAGCCGUUGUUUCUUGGAUCUCCGUAAUACUUGGAUAACUGUGGUAAUUCUAGAGCUAAUACACGCAAUCGAGCUCCGACCGUAAGGGACGAGCGCAUUUAUUAGAACAAAACCAAUCGGUGCUUCGGUGCCGUAGGUUGGUGACUCUGAAUAACUGAGCAGAUCGCAUCGGUCUCGUACCGGCGAUGUAUCUUUCAAGUGUCUGCCUUAUCAACUUUCGAUGGUAGUUUAUGUGCCUACCAUGGUUGCAACGGGUAACGGAGAAUAAGGGUUCGACUCCGGAGAGGGAGCCUGAGAAACGGCUACCACUUCUAAGGAAGGCAGCAGGCGCGCAAAUUACCCACUCUCGGCACGAGGAGGUAGUGACGAAAAAUAACGAGACGGGUCUCAUUUGAGAGCCGUCAUCGGAAUGAGAACAAUCCAAACCCUUUAACGAGGACCUAGCGGAGGGCAAGUCUGGUGCCAGCAGCCGCGGUAAUUCCAGCUCCGCCAGUGUAUAUCUAUGCUGCUGCGGUUAAAAAGCUCGUAGUUGGAUCUGCGUGCCUGGAGCCGGUCCGCCCGUUUCGGGUGUGCACUGGACUCCGGCACUGAACCGCUGGUUUUCUCUUGAUGCCCUUCACCGGGUGUCUUGAGUGACUAGCAUGUUUACUUUGAAAAAAUUAGAGUGCUUAAAACAAGCGUUUCGCUUGAAUACUGGUGCAUGGAAUAAUAGAAUAGGACCUUGGUUCUAUUUUGUUGGUUUUCGGAACACGAGGUAAUGAUUAAGAGGGACAGACGGGGGCAUUCGUAUUGCGACGUUAGAGGUGAAAUUCUUGGAUCGUCGCAAGACGGCCUACUGCGAAAGCAUUUGCCAAGAAUGUUUUCAUUAAUCAAGAACGAAAGUUAGAGGUUCGAAGGCGAUCAGAUGCCGCCCUAGUUCUAACCGUAAACGAUGCCAACUAGCGAUCCACUGGUGUUAAUUUAGACCCAGUGGGGAGCUUCCUGGAAACGAAAGUCUAUGGGUUCCGGGGGAAGUAUGGUUGCAAAGCUGAAACUUAAAGGAAUUGACGGAAGGGCACCACCAGGAGUGGAGCCUGCGGCUUAAUUUGACUCAACACGGGAAAACUCACCCGGCCCGGACACCGUAAGGAUUGACAGAUUGAGAGCUCUUUCUUGAUUCGGUGGGUGGUGGUGCAUGGCCGUUCUUAGUUGGUGGAGCGAUUUGUCUGGUUUAUUCCGAUAACGAACGAGACUCCAACCUACUAACUAGUGGGAGGAUCUUUAUGUCCUCAGCACUUCUUAGAG
rnacentral:rRNA from 1 species